GACGAACGCUGGCGGCGCGCUUAACACAUGCAAGUCGAACGGUGAACCGGGCUUCGGCCCGGGAAUCAGUGGCGAACGGGUGCGUAACACGUGGGCAACCUGCCCCAGACACUGGGAUAA
rnacentral:rRNA from 1 species